rnacentral:rRNA from 1 species
UACGUAGGGUGCAAGCGUUGUCCGGAAUUAUUGGGCGUAAAGAGCUCGUAGGCGGUCUGUCACGUCGGCUGUGAAAUCCCGAGGCUCAACCUCGGGUCUGCAGUCGAUACGGGCAAACUAGAGUAUUGCAGGGGAGACUGGAAUUCCUGGUGUAGCGGUGAAAUGCGCAGAUAUCAGGAGGAACACCAAUGGCGAAGGCGGCUAUCUGGACCGACAUUGACGCUGAGGCGCGAAAGCGUGGGGGAGCAAACAGG